AGCCCUGUAACUCAGUUGGAAGAGUGCCUCUCUUACAAAGAGGAAGCCGCAGGUUCAAUUCCUGCCAGGACUACCA
rnacentral:tRNA from 1 species